UAUAUGUUUAGUUUGUGGGGGGAGGGACGUCUUUACCCAAAAUCUCCUGCAGGAAUCUUCAUUUCACAUUUCAGAUACCUGCCAGAGCCAUUGCAUGAAGCUAUUUCCAAAUCAUCAAUCCUUCCUCAGGUGGCCCUCAACCGUCUGAAGACCAGACCGAGUUAAG